GAGCUUGAUCAUGGCUCAGAUUGAACGCUGGCGGCAGGCCUAACACAUGCAAGUCGAACGGUAACAGGAAGCAGCUUGCUGCUUCGCUGACGAGUGGCGGACGGGUGAGUAAUGUCUGGGAAGCUGCCUGAUGGAGGGGGAUAACUACUGGAAACGGUAGCUAAUACCGCAUAAUGUCGCAAGACCAAAGAGGGGGACCUUCGGGCCUCUUGCCAUCGGAUGUGCCCAGAUGGGAUUAGCUUGUUGGUGGGGUAACGGCUCACCAAGGCGACGAUCCCUAGCUGGUCUGAGAGGAUGACCAGCCACACUGGAACUGAGACACGGUCCAGACUCCUACGGGAGGCAGCAGUGGGGAAUAUUGCACAAUGGGCGCAAGCCUGAUGCAGCCAUGCCGCGUGUAUGAAGAAGGCCUUCGGGUUGUAAAGUACUUUCAGCGGGGAGGAAGGGAGUAAAGUUAAUACCUUUGCUCAUUGACGUUACCCGCAGAAGAAGCACCGGCUAACUCCGUGCCAGCAGCCGCGGUAAUACGGAGGGUGCAAGCGUUAAUCGGAAUUACUGGGCGUAAAGCGCACGCAGGCGGUUUGUUAAGUCAGAUGUGAAAUCCCCGGGCUCAACCUGGGAACUGCAUCUGAUACUGGCAAGCUUGAGUCUCGUAGAGGGGGGUAGAAUUCCAGGUGUAGCGGUGAAAUGCGUAGAGAUCUGGAGGAAUACCGGUGGCGAAGGCGGCCCCCUGGACGAAGACUGACGCUCAGGUGCGAAAGCGUGGGGAGCAAACAGGAUUAGAUACCCUGGUAGUCCACGCCGUAAACGAUGUCGACUUGGAGGUUGUGCCCUUGAGGCGUGGCUUCCGGGGCUAACGCGUUAAGUCGACCGCCUGGGGAGUACGGCCGCAAGGUUAAAACUCAAAUGAAUUGACGGGGGCCCGCACAAGCGGUGGAGCAUGUGGUUUAAUUCGAUGCAACGCGAAGAACCUUACCUGGUCUUGACAUCCACGGAAGUUUUCAGAGAUGAGAAUGUGCCUUCGGGAACCGUGAGACAGGUGCUGCAUGGCUGUCGUCAGCUCGUGUUGUGAAAUGUUGGGUUAAGUCCCGCAACGAGCGCAACCCUUAUCCUUUGUUGCCAGCGGUCCGGCCGGGAACUCAAAGGAGACUGCCAGUGAUAAACUGGAGGAAGGUGGGGAUGACGUCAAGUCAUCAUGCCCCUUACGACCAGGGCUACACACGUGCUACAAUGGCGCAUACAAAGAGAAGCGACCUCGCGAGAGCAAGCGGACCUCAUAAAGUGCGUCGUAGUCCGGAUUGGAGUCUGCAACUCGACUCCAUGAAGUCGGAAUCGCUAGUAAUCGUGGAUCAGAAUGCCACGGUGAAUACGUUCCCGGGCCUUGUACACACCGCCCGUCACACCAUGGGAGUGGGUUGCAAAAGAAGUAGGUAGCUUAACCUUCGGGAGGGCGCUUACCACUUUGUGAUUCAUGACUGGGGUGAAGUCGGAACAAGGUA
rnacentral:rRNA from 1 species